UUUUAGCCACGCUGUGUAAUGAUCACUGUCAGAUAUUUAAUUUCACUUCAUUUUCAGACUUAGAUUUUAGAUCAACUUUAUCAGAAGCUUUCCUUAAGCUGCUGAAUGUAGUUUCUAGAAAACCCUGGACUUAGAAAAAAUUUGUAGAGAUACAAACUUCAGGUCCCUCCCCCGUUAAGCUUUAGCCCACCUUCCUAAGCUCCUCCCACACAGCACGGCUCUUAGUCGGGAGCGCGCAUGCUGGUAAACAGGACGAGUMUGGGGCGAGCCAUAGACGAACAGAUCUGAGUGAAACUAUGCUGCAGUCACAGGAAAGAAGGAACCAUCAACAAUAUAUUUUUCUACACAAGUGCUCCUCAAAUCUUUAUGUAUUUUGUCAUAACAUUACAUGUAAAUUAUGUUGCACACUUUCUAUAAGUUAWAAAUAGCUAGCAAGCUAACAUAACACGGUAGCUGCAGAUUAGCAUUGUGUAAUGUUAGAUAAAGUUUAUUUCAGCAACAUGACAAGCCUGUGUAUUAGUAUUUCRCAGCUCUUGCUUUGUUGCAGUGUGACAUUUUAUCUUUAUGUUYUSCAGCUAGAGUUUUUGACACAGUCAAUGGGCUCCAACAGAACAUUUACAGCAUCUUCUAGUUGACGGGACAGGGAAGCUGUGUGAUGGAGCAUCAGACCGGUCACAUGGGAGACGCAGCAGAGUGMGUUCAGCUCCUGACAACCUCAGCAGAGGACAUGGUGCGAUUGGACAUCUGCAUCUCAACCCUACCUUCCACACAUCACAUCAUAUAUUCUGCUGGCAGGAAUCUUGUUUCUGGCCAGGAGGAUCUGUAGCUGACCUUCCAGAUGAUGGUGAAGACAACAGGCAGUUCCACACGUAGUGUACAGACUGUGAUGAUCGAUUAUUGGCGUUGUCUGAAAGGCGGCUCCAAGGACCGGAGCUACCCGCUAUGGCCGGGGGUUCGGACGAACGCUGGACAAGAGGAAGAAGUUUUUUUAAAGUUUUUUUCCCUCUACUGAACGUGUCCAGGCUGGGAUUUGUCCUUAGAUUCAGCCGCUGUGGGUGACUUUGGGACUGGAGCUGGAAAGAACCUGUCUGUGACAGAAACACGGACACCCUGGCUCCUGGUCGCCGACCCCCACCGUCGACCCGACCCGGCUCCGACAGUGAUGACCCUGACGACGAAUCAUCUGAUGACCCUGAUGACGAGGAAAAGGUGCUGCAAACACAAUCUGAUGACGACAAAGCUGCUGAUAACCGUCCUCAGACACCACCUCCUGUGAGCACCGACCCAGUGAAGCAAGAACUGCUAUAGCCAAAGCCAAGACACGUGACUAAACCAGCUGCUACAAAGAUGGAACUCAGGAAAAGACAGGAAAAGCAAGAUGUAGCAAAAGCCCCCCCGCCUCCCCACCUCUCGGUCAAAGACAGGGUACCACAGCUCAGAUGCUGUGGCACUGAAGACUGCAAAGAAACUGGCUAAGCUGCAGGAGGAAAAAGAGGCUCUGGAAUCACAGCUAGCAGACAUCACUCAGAAGACCAGUGAACUGACUCUGCCGAUGAUAGAGGUCGCAGGACAAGCAGAUCCAGCACUGGUGUUCCGUCCCUGGACAAAUGAGGACAUGAAGGCAUACACGCAGCAGCUACCGAACGUUGUGGAAGGUGGGGAAAAGUUCUGCGCUGCCUUUAAAACCUUCUGCAUGGAAGUACAACCCACCUGGCCUGAACUGAGAAGACUGCUACUCUUUCACAUGGGCCGAACUAACUUUGACAAGGUUAAAGGCAACCUGGUAGGUGAAUACCAUGUCAUACAUCCAACCUUUGAUGAUGCAGCAAACAACCACUAUUGAGCUGCAUUGGACAAGCUGUGUGCCACCAUCAACCGAGCUUUUCCAAGAAAGGCCUGUGUACAACUAAAGACUGAAACAUCAGAAGAUUACUUCUCUCGGCUGCUAGCUGUGCAUAAUGAGUACUCUGGAGUAGACGAGCCGUCAAGCCUUGAUGACGUGAUGAGGCAUUGGGAGAGCGCUUUUAGCCAACAUUUCCUAAAUGGGCUGCUACCUGAAGUCUUAGCAGUGAUGAA